rnacentral:rRNA from 1 species
UGGGGAAUAUUGGACAAUGGGCGAAAGCCUGAUCCAGCAAUGCCGCGUGAGUGAUGAAGGCCUUAAUCGGUUGUAAAGCUCUUUUGUUAGGGAUGAUAAUGACAGUACCUAAAGAAUAAGCACCGACUAAUUACGUGCCAGCAGUCGCGGUAAUACGUAAGGUGCUAGUGUUAUUCGGAAUUACUGGGUGUAAAGGGCGCGUAGGCGGAUACAUAAGUCAUAUGUUUAAUUUUUGGGCUUAACCUGAAGUCUGCAUGUGAUACUGUGUGUCUAGAGUUUGACGGAAGAUGAUAGAAUUUCUGGUGUAGGGGUUAAAUCCGUAGAUAUCAGAAGGAAUACCGAAAGCGAAAGCAGUCAUCUAUAUCAAUACUGACGCUGAGGCGCGAAAGCGUGGGGAGCA